ACGUGGGGGGCAGCGGGAGGGAAGAAGAAUUGCAAUUUGCUCGGCCUGGCGACAGUCACCGUGGGACCGAAAGCCACUAGACGCCCCGCGCUGUCCCUUCGUCCCUGCGCUGGUGACGCGUACAUCCUUCGCUGAGGAAGUGCUGGCCUCUACUGCUGGACGAUGAUGCGACCUGAGCGGGGGACGCCCGAGCCCGCGCUGCCCUUCUCCCAGCGGCACCGCCCUCCCCAGCUCUUCUGACCACUGCGACUACCCAGCAGACGAGAUGGAGCGGCGGCCGCUGUGUCCAGCCACCUGCCGGGUGCCGGGAAUACAGAAUGGGAUGAGACCGGCCCUCUGACCUCCAAGUGCAGCAUUUAGUUGGAGAGAGGAGGGAAACUGACGCUUCCAAACAAUACGGUGACUGAAUGGCUGUGGUGAGAACGGCGACAGAAAUAGGCUCGAAUUCGAAUUUCACAAAAAUGCCCGGGAAGGACCUUCGGGAAAGGAAGGCUGGGGGCACACUUCAUCCAGCUUUGUGAGCAGGUGAAAAGGGAGGGGAGGCGCUGAGGCUCCUUGAAGGUGAGAUCUAGUUCCUUAACCUCAGUAGAUGCAGUUCGGUCGGCUGUCCUCUCCUUUACUGCUUCCUUGACGCUACAGGCUUCGUUUACCGCCUGGAAUACGGGGCUCUCUCCUUUGUAAACUCCUCUUCUACCCACACUCUAGCUGUUCAAGGGCUGCCAGGUCCAGUCCUGGCUCUCUCGUAUUCGUCCAGCACCAUGGCUUUCCAUCUCACCUCGCUGCCCAGUAGGAGCCACUCAGCACUGUGCUACUGGGCGCUGGAAAUAAGGCUAGUCCAAACCGAGAUGUGCAGUCAGUGUAAAAUGCACACUGGAUUUCGAAGACGUCUCUGGGCGAAGAGUGUGAAACAGUUUAUUAAUUGCAACACUGAUUAUAUGUUGAAAUGAUAAGAUUUUACUUAUAUCGGACUAAUAAAAUAUAUUGAAACUAA